AACCUCGUGGUGUAGUGGCUAGCACACUCGGCUCACUACCGAGAAAUCUCAGGUUCUACUCCUGAUCGAGGAAGAUA